rnacentral:siRNA from 1 species
UUGUUUGUGCUCUAUUAUGCU